rnacentral:rRNA from 1 species
CGUGUAGGCGGGGAUACGAGUCUGAUGUGAAAGCCCUGGGCUUAACCUGGGAAGUGCAUUGGAAACGGUAUUUCUUGAGUACUGGAGAGGAAGGGGGAAUUCCCGGUGUAGAGGUGAAAUUCGUAGAGAUCGGGAGGAAUACCAGUGGCGUAGGCGCCUUUCUGGACGGUUACUGACGCUGAGACGCGAAAGCGUGGGGAGCAAACAGGAUUAGAUACCCUGGUAGUCCACGCUGUAAACGAUGAGCACUAGGUGUAGCGGGUACUCAUUCCUGCUGUGCCGUAGCUAACGCGUUAAGUGCUCCGCCUGGGGAUUACGGUCGCAAGACUAAA